rnacentral:rRNA from 1 species
AGUGAACGCUGGCGGUAGGCCUAACACAUGCAAGUCGAACGGCAGCACAGUAAGAGCUUGCUCUUACGGGUGGCGAGUGGCGGACGGGUGGGGAAUACAUCGGAAUCUACUUUUUCGUGGGGGAUAACGUAGGGAAACUUACGCUAAUACCGCAUACGACCUACGGGUGAAAGCAGGGGAUCUUCGGACCUUGCGCGAUUGAAUGAGCCGAUGUCGGAUUAGCUAGUUGGAGGGGUAAAGGCCCACCAAGGCGACGAUCCGUAGCUGGUCUGAGAGGAUGAUCAGCCACACUGGAACUGAGACACGGUCCAGACUCCUACGGGAGGCAGCAGUGGGGAAUAUUGGACAAUGGGCGCAAGCCUGAUCCAGCCAUACCGCGUGUGUGAAGAAGGCCUUCGGGUUGUAAAGCCCUUUUGUUGGGAAGGAAAAGCAGCAGGUUAAUACCCCGCUGUUCUGACGGUACCCAAAGAAUAAGCACCGGCUAACUUCGUG